UACGAGGGGGCGAGCGUUGUUCGGAAUUAUUGGGCGUAAAGGGUGCGUAGGCGGUUCCGCAAGUCCUGUGUGAAAUCUUCGGGCUCAACUCGAAGUCUGCACGGGAAACUGCGGGCUUGAGUGUGGGAGAGGUGAGUGGAACUGCGAGUGUAGAGGUGAAAUUCGUAGAUAUUCGCAAGAACACCAGUGGCGAAGGCGGCUCACUGGCCCGGUACUGACGCUGAGGUGCGAAAGCGUGGGGAGCAAACAGG
rnacentral:rRNA from 1 species